AGCGAACGCUGGCGGCAGGCCUAACACAUGCAAGUCGAACGAAGUCUUCGGACUUAGUGGCAGACGGGUGAGUAACACGUGGGAACAUGCCCUUCGGUUCGGAAUAACUCAGGGAAACUUGAGCUAAUACCGGAUACGUCCGUAAGGAGAAAGAUUUAUCGCCGAAGGAUUGGCCCGCGUCUGAUUAGCUAGUUGGUGGGGUAAAGGCCCACCAAGGCGACGAUCAGUAGCUGGUCUGAGAGGAUGAUCAGCCACACUGGGACUGAGACACGACCCAGACUCCUACGGGAGGCAGCAGUGGGGAAUAUUGGACAAUGGGCGCAAGCCUGAUCCAGCCAUGCCGCGUGAGUGAUGAAGGCCCUAGGGUUGUAAAGCUCUUUCGGCGGGGAAGAUAAUGACGGUACCCGCAGAAGAAGCCCCGGCUAACUUCGUGCCAGCCGCCGCGGUAAUAC
rnacentral:rRNA from 1 species